GCCUACCUUGGUCCUAAUUCUCUGGGUCCAUUAAAGCUGUUUUUUUUUUCUCCUAACACUCUCCCCACUUGCCCAACUCAUAUAAUCAAGAGGGAGGAUGAACAAGAUGCUCACAGAAGCCAGAGAGAAGGCACUGGACCAAGACACACGCUGCUGAUAAAGACAUUCCCAAGACUGGGCGAUUUACAAAAGAAAGAGGUUUAAUUGGACUCACAGUUCCACAUGGCUGGGGAGGCCUCACAAUCAUGGCGGAAGGCAAGGAGGAUCAAGUCACAUCCUACUUGGAUGGCAGCAGGCAAAGAGAGAGCCUGUGCAGGCACACCUUUGAGAUACUAUGGGUUCAGAACCAGACCACCAAAAUAAAGUGAGAGAGAUGAAGUUUUCGGUUUCCCAGUGCAUAUGAAAGCACCUGGCCAGUGAAGAAACUCAAUAAAUAUAAUUAAAGAAGUAUGUCAGAGAAGAUAGAAUUUUUAUGCACAUUGACAAAAGAAGUGAAAAAAGUCCACCUUUUCGAAGAUUUAAAAGUAAACCAAAAUUGCUUAUAGGCUGAGACAUUGAUCCAUACGUUUUGGUAUAAACUUUGUUUGCUGAUGAAGAGAGGGAAGCGGGGAGAUGGAAUGUAACUAAUCUAGCAGCGAAGAAAAACAAAUUUUUUUCUGGUGAAAUAAGUAAUGGCUUUCUGGUUUAAUAAUUCUACACACAGAAAAUGAUUGAUUAAAGUUUUCUACAACCCUGGGCUAUGCAAAUAUGGCAAGUGUCUAUGUAUAUGCAAGGCUUGAACCCAGUCUUCAGUUACUUUUUUGGAAAAGUUGCCUGAGUUUAGUUUUGAGUCAUAUUUCUACAUCUGUCGCUAUGUUCCAGUCACUACCCAAACAGGUAUCAGACAUGAUCAUGUAGGCAAAAUAAAUAAAUAAAUAAUAAAAUUUAAAAAAAAACAAUUUUGGCUUUUAAGUAUCUCAGCAUGGAUAAUGUGGGUGAAUGGAUGAAUGUUCUAGUCUACUUAUUUCUGUUCGAAUUUUGAAAAGUGAUAAGACACUCAUGAAGGCAUACAUAUUGCCUAACAAGUUAAUUGGACCCUCCAUUAAUAUGUGCUACAUUAGCUGAAUGAAUGAGUGAAUGAAUAAAAUUUGGCAGAGAAAGGACUGAGAUCUGUGGGACUCUUCACUUGAUCCAAUGCUGAUCUGAGAUAACCAAAAUCUAUUUGGAGAAUUAGCUCUUCACUUACAAGCUUCUAGUACAAGCUACAUGGUUCCUUUGGCAAAUACUUUUUAUGUCACUAAAGAUGCCCUAAGGAGCUUUAAAAAAUCAAUGAGAAAGAUCCACUUGGUUCCAAAGAGUUUUACAUUUCAGGUAGGUCAGUGGAUCAGUGUUUCUGGUUCAUUUCAGCCUAACUGCAUUGUAUUAGAAGUAGUUUUUUAAAUGGUCAUCUCCUGAUCACUUUUUCUGUUAGGUCUCAUUAAGCUUAAAAGGCUCCACCUCAAAGGGACCCUGAUCACUAAAAAGUGAUUUCUGGAUGGAGUGAUGUUAGUUGAUUGGAAGAUUGAGGGGGUUACUUGCUCUUAUCUUUCCACAAGAGUCCUGUCCACAGACAAAAGUUUCUUUCUGGGAGCCUGAGAUUCAGGUAGGAGAUUGUGAAACCUUGUGGAGCCUAAGACCUAGGAUUUGAGUGUGCAGACCUAUACCUAGGUGUCAGACUGGCUGUGCUUCUAAGUUCAAACCUCAAACCAGCCCUUUUCCCUAAAGGCUUGCCUACAGUCGCAUUUGGGCUUGAACCUACAAUGAAAACAAUUUGCCAAGGGCUCCAGGAGGAAUUAUGCAUACUGUUGCCUCAGCAGAAAGGCUCAUCUGCUUGCUGACAUUCGUUUCAGUAGUAGAUUUGAAAGUCAUCCUGCAAAUUGGCUCCAGCCCCUUUCAGCUGUGUUCUCAACUUAUUACUACUCACACAGGAUGCAGAGGGAGACUCACCCAUCUGAGUUACUGAGACAGACUUACUGGCCUCUCUCUUUACAGAUUUUGAAGGGGCCCAGUCUUGGCUCCAGCAAUUCUCUGCCGCAGCUUGGGAGAUAAUCUUCCCACACAGACAACUGUUGGGAGAUUUACCUGUAUAAGCCUUUGAGACAGGUUUUUAAGUCUCUGUCCCACAGAAAAUCAUGAAAGGGCUCAAUCUCAGCUCCAGUUCCUCUUACUGCAGUCGGGAAAUGAUCCUGCUUUUGUGUGGAACUGCUGGGAGACACAUUUGUGUGAGCCACUGGGACAGGCUUGCCAGCUUCUGUUGCACAGCACAUUCUGAAGGGGCCCUGUCUUGGCUCCAGCCUCUCUCUGCCACAGCCUGGGAGUAAUUUUGUCUGCACAGAACUACUAGCCUCUCUGAACCACCAGGACAGCCUUGCCAGCCUCUAUUCACUAGCUCUGCCGCAUCAGGGAGUUUAAAGCCUACCUCAGACCCUUUUCAGAGAGGGAGGCAAAUCUCAACUCUAUGUUUGUACUGAACACAGAAGUUCAUUCAUCUCUCCCAAUCCACAUUACCACAAGACUUCUCCUGCAGCCCUGUUCAAUUGCUGAAUUCAAAGAGUGAUACGACCUCAUCAGAGAAUACUCCUUCUGUCUCAGCUAGAUCAAAGGCAAUUGCAAUGCUGAUCCUGCAGCUCAGCCUGACUGUAGAAUUAAGCCAAUGGUCUUUCUGGAUAGCAGAACCAAGCCAGUUACCCUACACAAAUUUGGAGCAAAGGUAAUAGCCCAGUCAUUUAGAGAACCUGAAAGCAAGCUCUGCCUUUCCAGGGUCGUUACCAGCUGGCCAACCUAGAAACAUGGAGUAGAAUAAACAGUGAAGGUCUGUUCCUGCAAGAAUACCCAUGAAAGCUGAAAAAGGUGGCAGUCUACACAAAUGCAUAAACACCAAUGCAAGGACGCAAAUAUUACAAAGACUCAAAAAGUCAUGGCAUCUUCCAAAGAAACAAAGCUCCAACAAUGGACCCCAAAGAAAGGAGAUCUAUGAAAUAACAGAGAAAGAAUUCAGAAUAAUUGUCUUAAAAAGUUCAUAUAUGGCUAAAAAUUAAAAAAUUGAAAAACAAUGUUUGAACAAAUUAAUUUCUUUUGUUUGACAAAGAAAUACAAAUAAUUAAAAAAAUCCCAAAUAGAAAUCCUAGAAUUGAACAAACCAAUGACUGAACUGAAAAAUGUAAUAGAAAGCUUCAGUAGCCUGCUGGAUCAAACUGAAAAAAGAAUUAGUGAACUCAAGGCAGAAUAUCUGAAAUUAUUGAAUCAGAGGAGCAAAAAGAAAAAGUAAAAAAGAAGGAAGAAAGCCUAUGGAGAUCAUGUAACACUAUGGAGAGACCUAACCUAUGUAUAUAGGCAUUAAAGGAAAAGGAAAAAAAAGGACCAGAAAACAUAUUUAAAGAAAUAAUUGAUGAAAACUCCCCUUAUUUGAAGAAAAAAGACAACAUCCAUGUACAGGAAGAAACAGAUCUUAAAUCAUAUUCAACCCAAAGAAGAGGUCACUGUGACACAUAGCAAUUAGACUAUCAAAAAUCAAAUAAAAAAUUCUAAGAGCAGCAUGAGAUAAGAAAUACAUGACAUACAAAGAAGUCCAAAUGCAACUAUCAGCACACUUCUCAGAAGAAAUCUUAUAGGCGAGGAGGAAGUGGGAUAAUUUAUUCAAAGUGCUAAAGAAAA